rnacentral:snoRNA from 1 species
AGCACGCUCCUUAAAUCCAUCAACAGAACUAUACUUGUAUAGCUCAGCGACUUUUUCGGUUGUUAAUUGUUGAUGCUUGAGUCAUAAGUGUGCGACAAUAUCCUACUUGCAGCUCCAAAUGGUAAAUGCAAAUCUCCUUACUUUGUGUUUAUUUGGUUCGGCGAACAUU